GGAGAUGGCGCGGCACAAGGACGGCGGCCCGCCGCGGUGGUUCUCGCCGCUCGAGUGCGGGGGCGGCCGCGUCCCCGGCGCGCCCACGCUGCUCUACCUGCCCGGAAUCGACGGGAUUGGGUUAGGACUUGUGCGGCACCACGAGAGAUUGGCAAAGAUGUUCGAUCUGUGGUGCUUGCACAUACCAGUCGAAGACCGAACGCCCUUCGCAGGGCUGGUCGAGUAUGUGGAGAGGGCAGUAAAGUCGGAGAGCUCAAGAGCGCCUGACAGACCAAUCUACCUUGUUGGAGAGUCAGUAGGAGCGUGCGUCGCUCUAGCCGUGGCUGCGCGAAACCCAGGCAUAGACCUGGUACUGAUCCUAGUAAACCCAGGAACGUCGUUCCACAGGUCGCAGUUGCAAACUCUCUCGGCCUUCUUGGAUCUGGUCCCUGAACCCUUCCAUUUGACCACUCCACAGCUGCUAAAUUUUCUGACAGGGAACUUGAUGAAGAUGCCAGAAGCUUUUGUUGGACGUGGCCUCUCUCUACAAGAAGCUGGUCCGAGAUUAUCAGAGACCACAUCCAGUAUGUUGGAUUCCCUUACGAUUUUGGUUGACGUUCUGACAAAGGAGUCCAUCGUUUGCAAGCUGGAAAUGUUGAAGGCGUCGUCAUCGUUUGUCAACUCCCGUUUACACGCAGUCAAAGCCCAGACGUUGGUACUAGCCAGUGGAAACGAUGAGCUGCUGCCAAGCACCCAAGAGGCCGAGAGACUCCGUGGCGCUCUAGAGAAAUGCAGAACACGUGUUUUCAGAGACAAUGGCCACAAGAUCUUACUGGAGGCCGGCUUCGACCUCGCCACGACCAUCAAGGGAGCCGGGUACUACCGCCGCACCAGGAGGACAGACUUCGUUGCAGACUACAUACCUCCUACCCCAGACGAGCUGCAGCAAGCUAUCGACCACGACAGGGUCCUAAAGCUUGUCACCGACCGGUGAUGCUGUCGACGCUGGGCGACGGGAGGGUAGUGAGGGGCCUGGCGGGGCUGCCGAGGGAGGGGCCCGCCGUGCUGGUGGGGUACCACAUGCUCCUGGGGUU